rnacentral:tRNA from 1 species
GCCCAGAUGGUGAAAUCGGUAGACACAAGGGAUUUAAAAUCCCUCGGCCGCAAGGCUGUGCGGGUUYAAGUCCCGCUCUGGGCACCA